CAGGAGGACGCUGGGGAUUCAUCAGGAGGGAAGCCUGAAAUGUAAACCCUGGAAGCCAGCAGAACCAUUGAGGCAAAAAAAGUCAAUACAGAUGAUUGGUUUCUCACCUCUCGGUUGACAGCAUCCUGAGUAGCUGACUGGUUGUAUCCAAGCUCCUGGACUGGUCACAGAGACUGCCUCUAACGCUUGAUGCUGGGAACUCCCUGAACAAAAGCCAUUCCCCCUUGACUUGACUGAAGACUGCCGCCAACAAUGAUAAGCUUCUUCUUUUCAUAUCUGCACUAAGUGGCAAGAUAGCCAAUCCCAGAAACAAGACGGAAAUGAAUGCUUCUCUUGGUACUCGCCUACAUCUGGUCUACAAAAGCAGGCACCAAAAACCGUGGGCCUUUCCAGGACAGCACUUCAUUGGCAACACACGAUCCACGGUCCAUGCCAAACAGGACAGUCAGACACAAUUGUCUGGCACAGGACAGAGAAUUGAUCUCUACAGUUGGGGCACUAAACAACCUAUAGCAAUAAUUGCACUUCACAGUCGAUGCUUAGCUUCACUAUUGAAGUCACUCACACUAUCUGCUUCAUGUUACACUGCCUUUUCCACUCACAUGUGCACUUUUUGCUGCUGAUCAUGUUACAAAAUGAAACAAGCCUGAUUUAUCCAAUUGGUUUACUGAUCUAAUUCCUGAAUAUUUGAGUUCCCAGCAGAUUUAUAACAGUUACCACAGGAAUCCAAUGCCCUACAUUGGUUGCUAUUAGGAAGUGUCCUAACCUCGGCUCCCAGAUCGUUUCUUCUUUUUUUGUUACUUUGUUUUUAAACUCUCAUUUCUCUCUUUCUUGGCUUUUGGACUUCCCUUAUAUAGGGGAGAAAAUAGCUUAGUGAUACUAUCACUAGACUACUAAUUCAGAUACCCAAUGUUAUGGGGAGUGAGGUCCAAAUCCUAUCAUGACAGACAGUGAAACCCUAACUCAAUAAAAAUUGAAUCUGGGAUUAAGAGACUAACGAUGACCAUAAAACCAUUGCCAACUGUUGGGAAAAAUUUAUCUGCUUCAACAAUGUCCCCCAGAGGAGGAAAUCAGCCAUUCCCACCUAAUCUGGCCCACAUGCAGCUUCAAGCCUACAGCAACAUGGCUGACCCUCAACUGCCCUCCAGGCAACCAGAGAUGGGCAACAAAUUCUGACCAGGCCAGUGAUGCCCACAUCCUAUGAAUGAAAAAUAAAUCAGGAUCCUGCUAUUAUGGCCUCCUCUAUCCACACCUUUGACUUAAUCACUUUGUCCCAUUUACAAUCCCUAUGGCCUGAUCUUACAAAAUUGUUUGCUAUUUAAUGUCUCCUGCUCUUCACACUAUCAGAUCUCUCAUUCUGUUCUUUUUCUCAC